rnacentral:tRNA from 1 species
GGUCACGUAGCCAAGUGGUAAGGCAGGGGUCUGCAAAACCCCUAUCGGCGGUUCGAUCCCGCCCGUGACCUCCA